rnacentral:siRNA from 1 species
UCCGACUGACCCGACCAAUGAUAC